rnacentral:rRNA from 1 species
UACGAAGGGUGCAAGCGCUAAUCGGAAUUACUGGGCGUAAAGGGUGCGUAGGCGGUUCGUUAAGUCUGUCGUGAAAUCCCCGGGCUCAACCUGGGAAUGGCGAUGGAUACUGGCGAGCUAGAGUGUGUCAGAGGAUGGUGGAAUUCCCGGUGUAGCGGUGAAAUGCGUAGAGAUCGGGAGGAACAUCAGUGGCGAAGGCGGCCAUCUGGGACAACACUGACGCUGAAGCACGAAAGCGUGGGGAGCAAACAGG